rnacentral:rRNA from 1 species
GACGAACGCUGGCGGCGUGCUUAACACAUGCAAGUCGAACGGAAAGGCCCUGCUUUUGUGGGGUGCUCGAGUGGCGAACGGGUGAGUAACACGUGAGUAACCUGCCCUUGACUUUGGGAUAACUUCAGGAAACUGGGGCUAAUACCGGAUAGGAGCUCCUGCUGCAUGGUGGGGGUUGGUAAGUUUCGGCGGUUGGGGAUGGACUCGCGGCUUAUCAGCUUGUUGGUGGGGUAGUGGCUUACCAAGGCUUUGACGGGUAGCCGGCCUGAGAGGGUGACCGGCCACAUUGGGACUGAGAGACGGCCCAGACUCCUACGGGAGGCAGCAGUGGGGAAUAUUGCACAAUGGGCGGAAGCCUGAUGCAGCAACGCCGCGUGCGGGAUGACGGCCUUCGGGUUGUAAACCGCUUUCGCCUGUGACGAAGCGUGAGUGACGGUAAUGGGUAAAGAAGCACCGGCUAACUACGUG